ACAAGGAGGUUUGGGGUGUGGGAAAUUUGAUUUCAAGGGGAGAUACAAGGAGAAAAGUCCAUGGAGGAUUUCUGGGAAUAAAAGACACUAGGAUUGGUUUGGGAAUUCUCUGUCGUAUUAAUGGUUCAGUCUGAAGGAUAACAUCCAUGUGCUGUUUUUCCAGCCUUCCUGGAUCUGUUUUUGGUUGUUUUUGCCAUAUUGAGGAGCCAUAUCCCAUAAAUCAGCCCUUUCCAUGGGUCUGGAUUCACCAUUCCAGACUAACAUGAGCUCCUGGCCUUUGUCUUCCAGUGUUUCACUUUCCCAAGUGCAGCCAGGGAUUCAUAACUUAUUUGUGAGGGAAAAGGAAAUUUGGGAAUACACAGCUCUGUAAUUCCUCAGUUUUAAAGGAACUGCUCAGAUGGACAGACCAGGAUAAAUAUUUCCCUGCAGAAUUAAAAAUAAACCUUUCCAGUUUGGAGAAAAUAAAAGAUUUUAUGAUGUUCCUUCCUUUCCAGGGAAAACCUGGUUUGCCAGGCCCUGUGGGGCUCCAUGGGGUUCCUGGACUGCCUGGACCACAAGGAGAAAAGGGAAUGGCAGGAAUUGGCAUUCCUGGCACUGCUGGCAUGAAGGGGGAGGAAGGAGAGCAGGUGGGCUGAGAUUUGCAUUAAAAUCCUCUCAGAGUGUUCAGCGUCUCCAAAGUCUCCUCCAAUAUUUAGGAUUUCCUUGGGAUCCCGUGGUUCCACAUGGAGAGGGUGAGAGAAGGGAAGAUUUAGGGUUUAAAAUCAGAGAUUUCACUGUUUCCUCUGUUGUUUUCAGGGAAUGAUGGGACCUCCAGGAGCACCAGGACCAAAGGUGGGUGCUGAAAGCCUGAACCCCAGUUGCUGGGCCUGGAAUUCAGGUUCCAAGGAAAUUUUCUGUCCCUAACCAGCAUCAUAAUGAAUCAUCAUAGUAAUUUCUGUGGGAAUUAUUGGAU
rnacentral:lncRNA from 1 species